UACGUAGGGGGCUAGCGUUGUCCGGAAUCAUUGGGCGUAAAGAGCGUGUAGGCGGUUCGGUAAGUCCGCUGUGAAAGUCGGGGGCUCAACCCUCGAAUGCCGGUGGAUACUGUCGGGCUAGAGUUCGGAAGAGGCGAGUGGAAUUCCCGGUGUAGCGGUGAAAUGCGCAGAUAUCGGGAGGAACACCUAUGGCGAAGGCAGCUCGCUGGGACGUUACUGACGCUGAGACGCGAAAGCGUGGGGAGCAAACAGG
rnacentral:rRNA from 1 species